rnacentral:rRNA from 1 species
UACGAAGGGGGGCUAGCGUUGCUCGGAAUCACUGGGCGUAAAGCGCACGUAGGCGGACUCUUAAGUCAGGGGUGAAAUCCUGGAGCUCAACUCCAGAACUGCCUUUGAUACUGGGAGCCUUGAGUUCGAGAGAGGUGAGUGGAACUGCGAGUGUAGAGGUGAAAUUCGUAGAUAUUCGCAAGAACACCAGUGGCGAAGGCGGCUCACUGGCCCGGUACUGACGCUGAGGUGCGAAAGCGUGGGGAGCAAACAGGG